UACGUAGGGUGCGAGCGUUGCCCGGAUUUAUUGGGCGUAAAGGGCGCGUAGGCGGCUCGGCACGUCCGUUGUGAAAUCGCCCGGCUCAACUGGGCGGGGUCAGCGGAUACGGUCGAGCUUGAGCAAGCUAGGGGGCAAUGGAAUUCCCGGUGUAGUGGUGGAAUGCGUAGAUAUCGGGAGGAACACCAGUGGCGAAGGCGGUUGCCUGGAGCUUUGCUGACGCUGAGGCGCGAAAGCGUGGGGAGCGAUCCGG
rnacentral:rRNA from 1 species